UGAAGCAUGGGUAGAGCUGAGAGGAGCUGGUUAAAGCCAGGAGAAUGUAAAACCUGCAGUAUUCACAAAGUAACAGAAAGUCCCUCCAUUCACGGCCAACUAAGAGAGAAGUACAGGACAUUUGCUGCUCCAAACUCACUUCUGUUGCCAUGCUGGAGCAGAGACGGUGGACCCAGAUGCACGAGGCAGCAGGCAGGAAGGGCAAUGGAUGAAGUUUUAAUAAGGAUCAUAAGGAACGGGCCAACACAAAGGAACAUCAGGGGAAAACAACAGAAGAAAAAGAGAAAACACAACCGCAGGAUCAGGGUCACUCAACCGAUGACUCGACAAAGACGAAACUAAAAACUGGACUUGAAUAUUAACUAAACUAACGAGGGGACAAGGUGCUGGUGGAGCGAGGCAGAGAAACACAGUGCCGUCAUAUCUCACCUUUUGAAAACUACGUUGUGCCUACACUGCUAGCAACGAAAGAGGCAUCUGCGUUCCUUUUAUUAAGCCAAAGUUCUGUAUUUUGCAUGCAGUUUGCUGUAAUGACUUCGCUUUAUUUUG